rnacentral:rRNA from 1 species
CAGCUUGCUAAACUGUAACUGACGCUGAUGCACGAAAGCUUGGGGAGCGAACAGGAUUAGAUACCCUGGUAGUCCACGCUGUAAACGAUGAGCACUGGUUGUUGGCAAUACACCGUCAGCGACUGAGCGAAAGUAUUAAGUGCUCCACCUGGGGAGUACGUCGGCAACGAUGAAACUCAAAGGAAUUGACGGGGGCCCGCACAAGCGGAGGAACAUGUGGUUUAAUUCGAUGAUACGCGAGGAACCUUACCUGGGCUUAAAUGUAGAGUGCAUUGUUUGGAAACAAACAUUUUCUUCGGAACUCUUUACAAGGUGCUGCAUGGUUGUCGUCAGCUCGUGCCGUGAGGUGUCGGGUUAAGUCCCAUAACGAGCGCAACCCCUAUUGUUAGUUACCAGCACGUAAUGGUGGGGACUCUAGCAAGACUGCCGGUGUAAACCGUGAGGAAGGUGGGGAUGACGUCAAAUCAGCACGGCCCUUAUGUUCAGGGCUACACACGUGUUACAAUGGCAAGUACAAAGAGCAGCCACCUGGCGACAGGGCGCUAAUCUCAAAAGCUUGCCUCAGUUCGGAUCGAAGUCUGCAACUCGACUUCGUGAAGGUGGAUUCGCUAGUAAUCGCGCAUCAGCCAUGGCGCGGUGAAUACGUUCCCGGGCAUUGUACACACCGCCCGUCAAGCCAUGGAAGCUGGGGGUACCUGAAGUCCGUAACCGCAAGGAUCGGCCUAG